CAGAGGGUGCGAGCGUUAAUCGGAUUUACUGGGCGUAAAGGGCGCGUAGGCGGUGAGAUGUGUAUGAUGUGAAAGCCCCGGGCUUAACCUGGGAAGUGCAUCGUAAACUAUCUGACUGGAGUAUAUGAGAGGGUGGUGGAAUUUCCGGUGUAGCGGUGAAAUGCGUAGAGAUCGGAAGGAACGUCAAUGGCGAAGGCAGCCACCUGGCAUAAUACUGACGCUGAGGCGCGAAAGCGUGGGGAGCGAACAGGAUUAGAUACCCUGGUAGUCCACGCUGUAAACGAUGAGGACUAAAGGUUGGUAGGGGAACCUAUCAGUCUUGAAGCUAACGCGAUAAGUCUUCCGCCUGGGAAGUACGGCCGCAAGGUUG
rnacentral:rRNA from 1 species